CGUCCCAGCAUGCCCUAAGCUCCUUAGGGUAUCCCAACAUGCCUGAGGAGAGGAUGUCCCAACAUGCCCCAGGCUCCUUGGAGAGGGCGUCCCAACAUGCCCCAUACUUCUUGGAGAUGGUAUCCCAGAAUGCCCCAGGAGAGGGUGUCCCAGCAUGCCCCAGACUCUUUGGAGAGGAUGUCCCAGCAUGCCUGAGGAGAGGAUGUCCCAGCAUGCCCCAGGCUCCUUGGAGAGGAUGUCCCAGCAUGCCCUAGGCUCCUUACAGUAUCCCAACGUGCCUGAGGACAGGGUGUCCCAGCAUGCCCCAGAUUCCUUAGAGUGUCCCAACAUGCCCAAGGAAAGGGUGUCCCAGCAUGCCCCAGACUCCUUGGAAUAGAAUGUCCCAGUGUGUCCCAGACUCUAGAGAUGAACUCCCAGUGUGCCCCAGGCUCCUUGGAGAGGACGUCCCAGCAUGCCCCAGAUUCCUUGGAGAGAAUGUCUUAGCAUACCCCAGGAGAGGAUGUCCCUGCAUGCACCCAGACAUGCAUCAGACGCUCCUGAGUGCACGUGUCUUACCAGGGCAUUCAGAAUACUUGCCACUUCCUGCUUAUUAGGCCCGCGGAGGUUAUCAGCGAGCGGACGGUUGUGUUUUUCUGGGCAUUGGUCAGUCUACACUGGGACAGAGCCACAAAGCUGACGUGGUCCAGAGCAAAGCGCACAUACUGUUCAUCUCACACGGGCAUCUCGAACUGUCGGCAGGGCCGGUCCUCCUGAGCCUUCUCCCUGGCGUGUGGGGGGCGUCCCCUCCCCGUGUCUUCACGUGGUCUCCCUCCCAGUGCCCGUCUGUGCCCCUGGUCACCCCUUCUUGUGGGGACACCAGUCAGCCUGGAUCGGGGGCCCCAGGGCCCUCCUUUACCUCAGUCACCUCCACAAAGGCCCGCCUCCGAGUACAGUCACCCUGCGGCCCUGGGGGUGGGACUCAGCAGGUGGCUCUGGGGACACGGCUCAGCCCAGCACGUGACCGUG
rnacentral:lncRNA from 1 species